GUGACAUGCUGUGAUGUAGAGAUCACCGCUGAAAGGAAUUCACCGAAACUUUCCACUUAUUUUCAUUUCUUUCACUGCAAAAAGUUCCCUUCCACAAAUAACAAAGCUAAAGAGCAAGAUGGUCGCACGAUAUCUCCACAACAAAAUAUGGUUUCAUAGAAGAUUUCAUUUUCAUUUAAAAUUAAUACAGGUGUGUUUGUCUGACAAAUAAGAGACAGGCUACGUUAAUUUUUUAUACUUGUUACGGGAUCACAAAAAAACCAAUAUGCACAAAGUCCUAAUAGUGUUGUUCGCUCGGCUGUCAGGAGAUGUUGAGCGUGAAACCAAAACUAUGCUUUACUACUGUCCCAAAACAUACUUUACAAAAAAGUGAUCAUAACGAGGACAUAAUGGUAUCAUUGUACUUUUUACGUUCACAACAAUGGAGGAAGGAACGUGAUUUGAGGGGGUUUUGUAGUUUGUAUAUGGAAGGAUGACAAAUAAGCCGAUAUAUUAACGGUAGCCCAAGGAAUCUGAUGUUGAUGCUGUUGCUCAUCAGAUAGGACAGUGCGACAUAACAGUGUGUUUAUCAAUCAACCGAUAGACGCUAACUAAGGAGUGUUCCCUCUGCUACCAAGACGCAAGAUAGAAGGUAAAAAGGAAACCGUUCAAGACGAAAGGCCAUGUGUUAGGGUGGAUUUAGCCUUAGUUUGCUUUUAUAACAAAGUGUCCAGCAAUUCAUAAUGAUUUGUACAAUAAACAAGCCAAACUAAA